rnacentral:lncRNA from 1 species
GACACUGUGCCACCACCACACAAGUCAACCCCUGGAGGAAGCGUGCUCAGCAGGAGCCCAGCGCUGAAGAAGGCCACAGGAUGUGAGGCCAACAGUUCACAUUCACAGAUUCCUGGUAGAUGUGUCUUUUUGUGGGAGGCGGAGGGAGAACACCAUUCAACCCAGUGCGGAAGGCAAAGAGACGGCAACAAAAUGAGAAACUCUCUAGAGUCCAGGAAUGAGGAGCUGGAGUUCGUGGGGAAGGUGUUCCAUUUUGGAGGUAUGUGUCCAGCCCCUCCUUGUCCUCAUAUGGAACGUCUCACAGAGGCCCCCACACCACUCACUGCCUCUCUUGCAAUCUCUAGGUCUGGAAUCAGUUGGAGGCAUUAGGAUCAAGAG